UACAGAGACUGCGAGCGUUAUUCGGAUUCACUGGGCGUAAAGGGUGCGCAGGCGGCCAAGUGUGUGAGGCGUGAAAGCCCCGAGCUUAACUUGGGAAUUGCGCUUGUGACUGGCGAGCUGGAGUGUGGCAGAGGGAGGUGGAAUUCCACGUGUAGCAGUGAAAUGCGUAGAGAUGUAGAGAAACACCGAUGGCGAAGGCAGCCUCCUGGGCCAGCACUGACGCUCAUGCACGAAAGCGUGGGGAGCAAACAGG
rnacentral:rRNA from 1 species